rfam:Spathaspora passalidarum NRRL Y-27907 unplaced genomic scaffold SPAPAscaffold_5, whole genome shotgun sequence.
CUCCUGGUAGCUUAGUUGGUUUAAAGCGCGAGACUGUAAUGAGUACCUCAAAGUAAUCUUGAGAUCGGGUGUUCGACUCACCCCCGGGAGA